rnacentral:rRNA from 1 species
UAGAGUUUGAUCAUGGCUCAGAUUGAACGCUGGCGGCAGGCCUAACACAUGCAAGUCGAGCGGUAACAGAAAUUAGCUUGCUAGCUUGCUAGCUUGCUAAUUUGCUGACGAGCGGCGGACGGGUGAGUAAUACCUGGGAAUAUGCCUUAGUGUGGGGGAUAACUAUUGGAAACGAUAGCUAAUACCGCAUAAUGUCUUCGGACCAAAGAGGGGGAUCUUCGGACCUCUCGCGCUAAGAUUAGCCCAGGUGAGAUUAGCUAGUUGGUGGGGUAAGAGCUCACCAAGGCGACGAUCUCUAGCUGGUCUGAGAGGAUGAUCAGCCACACUGGAACUGAGACACGGUCCAGACUCCUACGGGAGGCAGCAGUGGGGAAUAUUGCACAAUGGGCGAAAGCCUGAUGCAGCCAUGCCGCGUGUAUGAAGAAGGCCUUCGGGUUGUAAAGUACUUUCAGUCGUGAGGAAGGGUGUGUAGUUAAUAGCUGCAUAUCUUGACGUUAGCGACAGAAGAAGCACCGGCUAACUCCGUGCCAGCAGCCGCGGUAAUACGGAGGGUGCGAGCGUUAAUCGGAAUUACUGGGCGUAAAGCGCAUGCAGGUGGUUCAUUAAGUCAGAUGUGAAAGCCCGGGGCUCAACCUCGGAACCGCAUUUGAAACUGGUGAACUAGAGUGCUGUAGAGGGGGGUAGAAUUUCA